CCUACGGGAGGCAGCAGUGAGGAAUAUUGGUCAAUGGACGAGAGUCUGAACCAGCCAAGUAGCGUGAAGGAUGACUGCCCUAUGGGUUGUAAACUUCUUUUAUAAAGGAAUAAAACGAGGCACGUGUGCCUUUUUGCAUGUACUUUAUGAAUAAGGAUCGGCUAACUCCGUGCCAGCAGCUGCGGUAAUACGGAGGAUCCGAGCGUUAUCCGGGUUUAUUGGGUUUAAAGGGAGCGUAGAUGGGUUGUUAAGUCAGUUGUGAAAGUUUGCGGCUCAACCGUAAAAUUGCAAUUGAUACUGGCAGUCUAGAGUACAGUUGAGGUAGGCGGAAUUCGUGGUGUAGCGGUGAAAUGCUUAGAUAUCACGAAGAACCCCGAUUGCGAAGGCAGCUUACUAAGCUGUGACUGACAUUGAUGCUCGAAAGUGUGGGUAUCAAACAGGAUUAGAUACCCCGGUAGUC
rnacentral:rRNA from 1 species